rnacentral:rRNA from 1 species
GCCGCGGUAAUACGGAGGGGGCUAGCGUUGUUCGGAUUUACUGGGCGUAAAGCGCACGUAGGCGGCGUAUCUAGUCAGAGGUGAAAGCCCGGGGCUCAACCCCGGAACUGCCUUUGAUACUGGUAUGCUUGAGUUCGGAAGAGGGUAGUGGAAUUCCAAGUGUAGAGGUGAAAUUCGUAGAUAUUUGGAAGAACACCGGUGGCGAAGGCGGCUACCUGGUCCGAUACUGACGCUGAGGUGCGAAAGCGUGGGGAGCAAAC